ACGGGUGUUCCAAGGGUCUAGGUAGGAUCCUAACCUUAAUAGAACUUUGUUGCUCUUAAUCCCAAAAGCGACGGGAGAAGAGAUUUUAGCCCAAUUUCGACGUAUCAACUUUUGUACGGUUCUCUAUGAAGUUAUUACGAAGACCUUUGUUAAUCAUUUAUGUUCGGUCAUGCAAAAGUAGAUUGCACAAAACUAGGAGGAACAUUGCGAAGUUGCUCAAGAAGCUAUCCAUAUUCCAUACAACGGUGGGUGAAUGGCGAUCAAGAUCGAUUUAGAAAAGGCUUAUGACAAGAUCCGAUGGAAUUUUCUUGAAGACUCUUUAUUGGAUGCGUGUCUUCCUGUUUCAUUCGUCAAUGUUAUUAUGCACUGUGUCACCUCGGCAUCCAUGCAAUUUCUCUGGAAUGGUUCAGUCUUGGAGUCUUUUCUUCCAUCUCGCCGGGUGCGUUAAGGGAACCCAUUGUCUGCAUAUUUUUUUGUCUUGGGAAUGGAGCGACUGGGGCAUUUGAUUGAUCAGGCUGUUGCGGAGAAGAAUUGGGAACCGUUGAUGCUUUCCCGUAGAGGUCCAGCUCUUUCUCUAACCUAAUAUUGUUUUGUCGAGUAUAUUUACGUCAGGCUAUGAUAGUUCAUGAAGUUCUGGAAUCCUUUUUGCCAAGCUUCGGGCCACAAGAUCAAUAAGCAGAAGACUCAAUUUUUUUUCUCUUCCAACACACCGGAUCCGACUACUUUGGCCACAAGUGAGAGACUCAGGUUUAUUAUGGUGACAGAUUUGGGAAAGUAUCUUGGAAUGCCAAUUUUUCAUAAGCGCGUCACAAUCUCCACGUUUCAGUUUGUUGUGGAUAAGGUUCUGCAUGCCGGGAGAUCGAAAGAAUAACCUGUGGGUUCAUCUGGGGAUCCAAUUACACAAAAAAGAAGCCCGCUCUUGUUCGCUGGAAAGACUGCUGUAGACCAAUUGACAAAGGGGGUCUAGGUGUUCGGUGUCUCCAAGUGCAGAACAAGCUUUUUCUACUCAAAUUGGGCUUAGUCUCCUUGCUAAUACUGAUGCAUAUUGGGUACGUAUUUUACGUAAUAAGUAUAAUGUACAUGGAAUGAUCCUGGUGUAUAUCAACUGUAGUAACCACUCUUAUAUCUGGCGCUCCUUAUCCAACGUUUGGCAUCACGUGACGAAGGGAGUAGUUUGGUCCAUUGGUGAUGGGAGAUUGAUUAGUUUUUGGAAUGAUGUUGGCCCCCUUAAACCAUAUCACAUACCUGGAGCGAGGGUUGACAAAACUGUCAUCGUUUAGAAACUCUUUUGCCUCCACUCAUUGUUAACAGAAUUGUCGGUUUAAUGCCCCCAAUGCUUGAUGGAGGUCCUGAUCGACUCACUUGGAGAUGGUCAUCGGGGGGUCGUUUCUCAAUGGCUGAAACAUAUGGCUGUUUGUUUGAUAAUGGUGUGAUGAAUUCUUGUAAUUUAUGUCUUGAAACUUGGAAGGUCCUUGCUCCACAGCGUGUUCGAGUCUUCUUAUGGUUACUUGGCCAGUCACGUUUACUCACUAUGAUGAGCGAAGGCAUAGCUGUAUGACAGAGGAAGGCUUUUGCCCACGCUGCGGUGAGUUCUCAGAAACAACAUUGCAGACAGUGAGAAAUUGUCACUUUGCUAAGGGGAUUUGGAGAGCCAUCCUACCUGCUGCAUCUCGGAACUCGUUCUUGACAACAUCGGGCAAUGGUUGGCUUCAAUGGUAUCUGAAAAAUAAGGGGGACAUUGUACUGGUUGAAGGUGAGUAGCCAACCUUUUCUCUACAACUUGUUGGCUGCUAUGGAAAAAUAGAAAUGAUUUGGUUUUCAAGAAAAUGAGCAGUGGUAGCCAUAAAUUAAUCUCUACUAGUGUGGCUUGGACGAGAAGCUAUUCAGAUGCUAGAAUGAAGGACUGUUUUAAGAGUAGUCAGGUCACUACACAGCCAUGGCAGACGCAGAAAAAGGGGUGGGUCAAGCUGAAUAUCGAUGGCUCUUUCACGAGUCACAUACCUAGUGCAGGUAUUGGGGGAGUUAUUCGGGGGUCUAAUGGAAAUUGGGUAACUGGUUUCUCAAUGGAAGUAGGUGAGACAGAUAGUUUCCAGGUUGAGGUGAGGGCCAUGUACGAGGGUCUUAUGUUUGCUUGGAGCAGAGGCUUUCACCAGGUCGAUGUUGAAAGUGAUAAUGUUGGGCUAAUUGAGUUAUUCUGCAACAGUUAUGCAGCAGAUAAUAGGUUACUGGUAUUACCCUUGGUUCGUGCUCCUUGAAGGGGGGAUUGGAGGGUCUAGUUUUGGCACACAGUCAGGGACAACAAUAGAGUUGCAGAUGGCCUGUCCCGGAUUAAUUUGCCUAUUUUUUGAAACUUUUAGUUCAAAUGUAUAAAGAUUAAUUUGUUUAUUUUUUAAAGUAUUAGAGUCUCCAUGUUACAUUUAUUAUA